rnacentral:lncRNA from 1 species
GAUGACGUUGUUUGGACAUGAGAAGGGUGGAGCAGAAUGUCCCUCGUCCAUUAAAUAUCAACCCCAUGGCAGCCAUGAAAGGGGGAGAAAAUAAAAGAACAAUGAAAAAAAAAAACCUUUGCAUCUCCACCUUAACAUACGCCGCCACCACCUGAACCAACUCUAAUUAGCAACCACCAGCUCUGGUAAUAGUGGUCAAGGGCUUCCAUCAACCACAACAAUGUUUUCCUUUCCUCCAUUUAAGCAUCUACUCGUAAGCUUCCUACACCAGCAACUUCUUCUCCAGCAUCCAAAGCAACACCACCGUGGACUACAGUAGCUCUACCAUCACGCACCACCAUGCUACGACAGUAACUAGCCAAGCAACCCCUUUUCUCGGCCAGGUAAGCUUCUUCCCCUCCUCUUUAUCUACAUGCCAAUAACGUAAUUUGCGUUACUGGCAGCCUAGUCCAUUGGCUGACCUGGUCCAGCCCACAUCAUAUAUAAAAAGAGGGCCUGUUGAGCUGUCUGUCUCCUAACAAAUCAGGUUCAGCUAGGCUUCAACUCAACUCGUACCCGUAUGCAUGGUCUUGGACCAGUAGACUCAGUCUAUAUAGUUGGACUAAGCCCAACCUAAAAGCUAAGAGUGCAUUUAACUAGCAUCAAUUUUGUUAAGAAAAUAAGGCAUUGUUUGUUCCUUAAAACAUUUUUAAUGCUUCUGAUUUUAGACUAAAAACACAUUUAACAAACACAACCUAUGCUUUUUUCUUUAGUUUUAGUGUAUAUUUUGUGUUUAGCCAAACAAUCCUUAAAAUACUAAAAAAUUCUAAAUAAAUUUAGGAACUAUUUUAAAAUGAUUUGUGGGUCCCUCGCGUGUUUUUUCAACUUUUUUACCUAAUAUCGGUUUAUAGAAUUAUACUGUAAGAUACAGACCCGAUAUUAACAAUACCUAAUUUUUCUUAUAAAUUUUAAAAAUUCAAAAAACAUUCCAUUAAAUUUUGGUCAAAAUAUCAAAAAUCUCACAAAAUUAAUUUGUUUAAUUAAUAUUCAGAAGGUUAGGAUUCAUUUGUUCACUUUAAUCUAAUCAAGUAUUACCUUGAAUACAUGUUCAAUAAGCAUAAUAUAAUUCUGUUUUUCAUAUAAUUUACAAGUUCAUUUACUUUUAUUCUAUCUUGUUACAUAAGAUUAUAUGCAAUCUAAUCUAAAUAACUCGAACCUCUGUAUUAUACCGAACCCUGUGAAAGCCACGGCCUCCCAGGGAACUGCUGAAUGGUCCUGGUUUUAAAGCAUUGGAGUCGUCUUUUGUAUGGUAACAGUGUUAUUUGUCUGGAAUAACGACGUCGCUUUCUCACAAGAUCCCAUGGCUCCAAUGAAAGAGUAGUUCUGUGGGAACAAGCAAGGCAUCUUCUCCCCAUCUUUUUAGAUCGCAAACAGCACUCGCCAUGUCUGUUCUUGCUUCCACCAUAAUCAUAGCAUCCCCUUUCCAUAUUGGAACGAACAUUCAAGCUCAUUUAGGCACUGUUUCUUACAAUAGGCUCUAAAUUUAUCAUCUGAGAAUUUCCCCUCAGGGAUAAAGCCAAAUUUGGGCCCACGUCGGCUCAAAGAAUAAUCGCAUGUUAUAGGAUAUUGCCCCAUGAGAGCAGCAAAGAAACAUUUCAGCCCCACAGUUGAUA